UUUGAACCCGUGACGCCAGUCGCGGUGGAGCCUCCCUUGAGAUACCACCCUUCGCACUCUUGAUGUCUAACCGCGGUCCGUUAUCCGGAUCCGGGACCCUGUGUGGCGGGUAGUUUGACUGGGGCGGUCGCCUCCUAAAUGGUAACGGAGGCGCGCAAUGGUGGGCUCAGGCCGGUCGGACAUCGGCUGCUGAGUGCAAUGGCAUAAGCCCGCCUGACUGCGAGA
rnacentral:rRNA from 1 species